rnacentral:rRNA from 1 species
AUGUUUUCUCUUACUUUGGACAAUGCAUCUUCAAAUGAAGUUUGUGUUAAACAUGUCAUUAGUAAACUGAAAGAGUAUUCCCCUCUAGUUUGUGAUGGUGAAUUCUUUCAUGUGAGAUGUGCAAAUCAUGUUCUUAAUUUGGUUGCUAGAGAUGGUCUUGAUCAGAUUUCAAAUGCAGUUUGGGGUGUUAAGGCAUUUGUUUUGGUAGUAAAAUCGUCGCCUCAGUUGGAGGAGGAAUUCUAUAAGUGUGCAUCUGAGUGUGGGUUGUCCACAGAAAAAGGUCUACGGCUGGAUGUCCAAACAAGGUGGAAUUCUACCUACCACAUGUUGAGUGAUGCCCUAUAUUAUAAGAAGGCCUUUGAUAGGUUGCAUGAGAUUGACAAAAAGAAGUUUGACAAGUUUGCUCCAACAGCUGAUGAUUGGGACAAGGCGCUUACCCUUUGUAGAUGCUUGAAGAAGUUUGAUGAUCUCACUACUCUGCUAUCAGGUAAUCAAUAUCCAACAGCAAACUUAUUCUACAAAGGCUUCUGUGAGAUCAAGGCUUUAAUUUCUGGUUGGCGUAAGAGUAGUGAUACUACUAUUAAAAAGAUGGCAGGUUCUAUGCAAACUAAAUUUGAUAAGUACUGGAGGAAGUCAAAUCUUGCUCUUGCGGUUGCCUUCUUUCUUGACCCUAUAUACAAGAGAAGUGGAAUUGAACAUUACAUGAGAAAGGUUCAUGUGGAACUACUGUAUUGUGGUAAAGUAGAAGAGUUGAUUAUUGCUGUGAAGCAGAUGUACCAAGCAUAUCAGAAUGAAUAUGCACAAAGCACUGAUGGACCUAGCUGUACUACCACUUCUCAAGAAGGCAAUACUGAUCUUAUGGUAGAAGAUGAAGAUGAUUAUUUUCUGUCUUAG